GACGAACGCUGGCGGCGUGCUUAACACAUGCAAGUCGAACGGAAAGGCCCCUUCGGGGGUACUCGAGUGGCGAACGGGUGAGUAACACGUGGGUGAUCUGCCCUGCACUUUGGGAUAAGCCUGGGAAACUGGGUCUAAUACCGAAUAGGACCGCAUGCUUCAUGGUGUGUGGUGGAAAGCUUUUGCGGUGUGGGAUGGGCCCGCGGCCUAUCAGCUUGUUGGUGGGGUAAUGGCCUACCAAGGCGACGACGGGUAGCCGGCCUGAGAGGGUGUCCGGCCACACUGGGACUGAGAUACGGCCCAGACUCCUACGGGAGGCAGCAGUGGGGAAUAUUGCACAAUGGGCGCAAGCCUGAUGCAGCGACGCCGCGUGGGGGAUGACGGCCUUCGGGUUGUAAACCUCUUUCAGUAUCGGCGAAGCUCCAGGAUUUUUCUUGGGGUGACGGUAGGUACAGAAGAAGCACCGGCCAACUACGUGC
rnacentral:rRNA from 1 species